AGUGAACGCUGGCGGUAGGCCUAACACAUGCAAGUCGAACGGCAGCACAGUAAGAGCUUGCUCUUACGGGUGGCGAGUGGCGGACGGGUGAGGAAUACAUCGGAAUCUACUUUUCGUUGGGGAUAACGUAGGGAAACUUUCCCUUAUUACGCAUUCGACCUACGGGUUAAAACAGGGGAUUUUCGGACCUUUCCCGGUUUAAUUAGCCGAUUUCGGAUUAGCUAGUUGGCGGGGUAAAGGCCCACCAAGGCGACGAUCCGUAGCUGGUCUGAGAGGAUGAUCAGCCACACUGGAACUGAGACACGGUCCAGACUCCUACGGGAGGCAGCAGUGGGGAAUAUUGGACAAUGGGCGCAAGCCUGAUCCAGCCAUACCGCGUGGGUGAAGAAGGCCUUCGGGUUGUAAAGCCCUUUUGUUGGGAAAGAAAAGCAGCAGGUUAAUACCCCGCUGUUCUGACGGUACCCAAAGAAUAAGCACCGGCUAACUUCGU
rnacentral:rRNA from 1 species